rnacentral:rRNA from 1 species
UGGGGAAUCUUGCACAAUGGACGAAAGUCUGAUGCAGCAACGCCGCGUGGGGGAUGAAGCUUCUCGGAGUGUAAACCCCUUUCGACCCGGACGAAUGCCCGCAAGGGCUUGACGGUACGGGUAUAAGAAGCCCCGGCUAACUACGUGCCAGCAGCCGCGGUAAUACGUAGGGGGCCAGCGUUGCUCGGAAUUACUGGGCGUAAAGGGUCCGUAGGCGGUGCGGCAAGUCGAGAGUGAAAUCCCUAGGCUUAACCUAGGGGCUGCUAGCGAAACUGCCGUGCUAGAGUGUGAGAGAGGCGAGUGGAAUUACGGGUGUAGCGGUGAAAUGCGUAGAUAUCCGUAGGAACAUCCGAGGCGAAAGCGGCUCGCUGGAUCACAACUGACGCUGAGAGACGAAAGCUAGGGGAGCAAACAGGAUUAGAUACCCGGGUAGUCC